AGAGUUUGAUCAUGGCUCAGAUUGAACGCUGGCGGCAGGCCUAACACAUGCAAGUCGAACGGUAACAGGAAACAGCUUGCUGUUUCGCUGACGAGUGGCGGACGGGUGAGUAAUGUCUGGGAAACUGCCUGAUGGAGGGGGAUAACUACUGGAAACGGUAGCUAAUACCGCAUAAUGUCGCAAGACCAAAGAGGGGGACCUUCGGGCCUCUUGCCAUCAGAUGUGCCCAGAUGGGAUUAGCUAGUAGGUGGGGUAACGGCUCACCUAGGCGACGAUCCCUAGCUGGUCUGAGAGGAUGACCAGCCACACUGGAACUGAGACACGGUCCAGACUCCUACGGGAGGCAGCAGUGGGGAAUAUUGCACAAUGGGCGCAAGCCUGAUGCAGCCAUGCCGCGUGUAUGAAGAAGGCCUUCGGGUUGUAAAGUACUUUCAGCGGGGAGGAAGGGAGUAAAGUUAAUACCUUUGCUCAUUGACGUUACCCGCAGAAGAAGCACCGGCUAACUCCGUGCCAGCAGCCGCGGUAAUACGGAGGGUGCAAGCGUUAAUCGGAAUUACUGGGCGUAAAGCGCACGCAGGCGGUUUGUUAAGUCAGAUGUGAAAUCCCCGGGCUCAACCUGGGAACUGCAUCUGAUACUGGCAAGCUUGAGUCUCGUAGAGGGGGGUAGAAUUCCAGGUGUAGCGGUGAAAUGCGUAGAGAUCUGGAGGAAUACCGGUGGCGAAGGCGGCCCCCUGGACGAAGACUGACGCUCAGGUGCGAAAGCGUGGGGAGCAAACAGGAUUAGAUACCCUGGUAGUCCACGCCGUAAACGAUGUCGACUUGGAGGUUGUGCCCUUGAGGCGUGGCUUCCGGAGCUAACGCGUUAAGUCGACCGCCUGGGGAGUACGGCCGCAAGGUUAAAACUCAAAUGAAUUGACGGGGGCCCGCACAAGCGGUGGAGCAUGUGGUUUAAUUCGAUGCAACGCGAAGAACCUUACCUGGUCUUGACAUCCACGGAAGUUUUCAGAGAUGAGAAUGUGCCUUCGGGAACCGUGAGACAGGUGCUGCAUGGCUGUCGUCAGCUCGUGUUGUGAAAUGUUGGGUUAAGUCCCGCAACGAGCGCAACCCUUAUCCUUUGUUGCCAGCGGUCCGGCCGGGAACUCAAAGGAGACUGCCAGUGAUAAACUGGAGGAAGGUGGGGAUGACGUCAAGUCAUCAUGGCCCUUACGACCAGGGCUACACACGUGCUACAAUGGCGCAUACAAAGAGAAGCGACCUCGCGAGAGCAAGCGGACCUCAUAAAGUGCGUCGUAGUCCGGAUUGGAGUCUGCAACUCGACUCCAUGAAGUCGGAAUCGCUAGUAAUCGUGGAUCAGAAUGCCACGGUGAAUACGUUCCCGGGCCUUGUACACACCGCCCGUCACACCAUGGGAGUGGGUUGCAAAAGAAGUAGGUAGCUUAACCUUCGGGAGGGCGCUUACCACUUUGUGAUUCAUGACUGGGGUGAAGUCGUAACAAGGUAACCGUAGGGGAACCUGCGGUUGGAUCACCU
rnacentral:rRNA from 1 species